rnacentral:lncRNA from 1 species
CCGACAUCCUGAAGACUUCUGUGGGAGCAGAUGCCUAGCUGAAGCACAGCUGACAAGAGAGUCAUGAAAAAGCCAAAAGGAUCACCUGCUAAGUCCAUUUUAAAAUCAUGAUCUACAGAAAGAGACAGGGUCUUGCUCCAUCACCCAGGCUGGAGUUCAGUGGCAUAUUCACAGCUCGCUGCAGCUUUCACCUUCCAGGUUCAAGUUGUCUUCCCACCUCAGCCUCCCAAGUAGCUGGGACCACAGGAGGAAAUCUCUUCACUGCUGGCACUGACAAUGGAAGACUGAGGGUGCCCGGGAUCCUUCACCCCCACAUCCAGUGAGUCCACGGAACCCAGGGUAACUGGGAUGGUAUCUGGACAAAAUUUGGGGCAUAUUUGUUUCUCUCGACCUGAUUUCUGCAGAAUUUGGAAACUAUUUAUGGAGUCUUUCUCUGUCACCCAGGCUGGAGUGCAAUGGUACUUUCUGGGGUCACUGUAACCUCCGCCUCCUGGGUUCAAGCAAUUCUCCUGCCUCAGCCUCCCAAAUAGCUGGAAUUACAGGUGUGUGCCACCACGCCCAGCUAAUUUUUUGUAUUUUUAGUAGAGACGGGGUUUCACCGUGUUAGCUGGGAUGUUCUUGAUCUCCUGACCUCAUGAUCCACCCGCCUCAGCCUCCCAAAGUGCUGAGAUUACAGAUGUGAGCCACCACACCCGGCCUGAAGUUCAUUUUUUAAGAUACAAAUGUAACCACUCCAGUAUUUUCUAUGAUGCAUGUUUGCCGUAGGACAGAUUUUUUUAAAAGAUUACUCAUAACUUAUCGGUGUCAUCUAAUUUACUAUAUUUUUUUGGUUCGGGAGCUUAUAGUAGGGUCUCGCUUUAUUAUCCAGACUUACAGUGUGUGUCUUUUAUAAAAUAUAUUUAGUUCCUUUUCAAUUUUUGUAACUAUUGGUAUUUUUUUAAGUUGACCUCUUAGCAUUUUGUUAUUUAUUUGUCCUAUUGUUCAUUCUGCUUCUUAAUCUUUUUUUAUACCUUUGAGUACAUAAAUAUAUAAAUUUAAUCUUCUCUAUUGGACUUUAUUUGCAUAUCGUUGCUUUUAUUUGUCACAAUUGUUCCCUUAGGAUUAAAAUUAUUGUAGUUAACUCAAAUUGAUAUUAAGCUACUUUACAUAGCUAUAAGAAUGUUACAACAGUAUCAUUCCGUGAGCCUUCUCAUUGUUUGUCAUAUCAUUGUCAUACAAUUUACCUCUAUAUGUUAUAAACCCC